rnacentral:rRNA from 1 species
CCCUAUGGGGUGCCCAAGGAAAUAUACGAAUAUCUGGACGGAGCGGGCAUAGAAUAUCGGGAUAUGACGUGCCCCUUUGUUUCCCGUAUCCAUAAAAGAGUUUACGACGAGAAGGACAAUUAUUCCGCCAUCAUCAUCGUGGGUUUCUCCGAACACCCGGAAGUCAUAGGCAUCAAGGGCUGGUCGGGGGAGAAGGGCAUCGUGGUGGGGAGCGUGGAAGAGGCGGAAAACCUGCCCUUUUUCGAGAGCCUGCUGGUGGUGGCUCAGACCACAAUCACGCCGGAUUUUUUCCGGGACGUGUGCGGGGCGCUGCAAAAUAAAUGUUCAAAAAUCGAUAUAUUUAACAGCAUAUGCGAAACCACUUCCGACCGGCAGAAUGAAACGCGGGAAUUGGCGGGAGGGC